AUGGACAGCGGCGGCGUUUUCCUGCUCCAUCUCGUCCUGCUCACCAGUGUCGUCGCGACUUUCAUUCGAUCGCGUCGGUCGUCGGGUGAUGGUGGAACCACACCGAGCCCACCAUUGCUCCCGCUGCUGGGCCACCUCCACCUUAUUGAGAAGCCGCUGCACCGCUCGCUGGCCACGCUGGCCGCCUCGGCGCACGGCGGGGCCCUGACGCUGCUCGUAUCGCUGAGGCUGGGGGCGCGCCCGGCGCUCCUCGUGUCGACGCAUGCCGCCGCCGAGGAGUGCUUCACGGUGCACGACGCCGCCCUGGCGGGACGGCCGCGGCUGCUCGUGGGGAAGCACCUCGGGUACAACUACACCGCGCUUACCUGGGCCUCCCACAGCACCCACUCAGGCGUCCUGCGUCGGUUCCUCGCCGGCAAGCUCUUCGCGCCCCGCCUCGAUGUACGCACGGCCGACCGUCGUGCCGAGGUCACGUCCCUCGUGGACAACCUGCUCCAGGACGCAGCGGCAGCAGGCGGUGGCGGCGCGCCGGUCACCCUCCGCCCUAGGCUCUUUGAGCUGGUGCUGAACGUGAUGUUGCGCGCGGUGACCGCGCACGGGCACUCCGGCGAUUUGGGCAGGUUCCAGGAGUUCGUCGAGGAGUCGUUUAAGGUAGUUGGCGCGCCCAGCAUCGGGGACUUCUUCCCGGCGCUGCGGUGGGUCGACCGCCUACGCGGCAUCGACGCGGCGCAUGCGAGGCUGCAGGCGAGGCGUGAUGCGUUCGUCGGAGGCCUCGUCGACGACCACACACGAAGGCGGAGCAAGGCCGCUGGUGGACACACGACCAGCGUGAUCGACGAGCUCUUGGCGCUACAAGAAGCCGAUCCCGAGUACUACACUGACAACGUCUUCAAAGGCAUCGUCUUGGUACUGUUCAGCACCGGGACUGACACGACGGCGCUGACCAUCGAGUGGACGAUGGCGCUGCUCCUCACCCACCCGGAGGCGCUGCAGAGGGCGAGGGACGAGAUAGACGCCAACGUAGGCACGGGACGGCUUGUCGAGGAGGCCGACAUGGCCAACCUCCCCUACCUCCAAUUCGUCGUGAAGGAGAGCCUCCGGCUGUGCCCCGUCGGCCCGCUCAUCCCGGCGCACGAGGCCAUGGAGGACUGCACGGUGGGCGGCUUCAGGGUCCCGCGCGGCACCAUGAUCCUCGUGAACUCGUGGGCAAUUAACCGGGACGCCGACCUCUGGGACUCCCCAACGGAGUUCAUGCCGGAGAGGUUCUUGGAUACGGCCAAGCCCGCGCCCAUGAUGCCGUUCGGGCUUGGCCGGAGGCGGUGCCCUGCGGAAGGGCUGGCGAUGCGCCUUCUUGGCUUGACGCUCGCGGCGCUCGUGCAGUGCUUCCAGUGGGAUGCCGGGGAAGGUCGUGCCAUUGACAUGGCCGAAGGUGCCGGUCUAAGCAUGCCUAUGGCCACGCCGUUGGCUGAUGUGUGCCGGCACCGGGAAUUUGUCAAGGGCUUGCUCUUUGCUUCCACUUGA
rnacentral:rRNA from 1 species